AUGGUCAAUCCUAAUGCUAAUAUUCUUCCACUUGACAAAGCUUUCGAGAUGUUCUCGCGUGAGGAGGCUAAAUUGAUCAAGCUUGAUGCACCUAAAUAUGAAGAUCUGUUAGACAGGGACACAAUCUCGGAAAUCUAUGAUGACAUUGUUGCUUUCCGUGAAUACGUGGACAAAGUGCUGUUGAAAUUGCGCCACUUGCUUAAGAAGGCUGAAGCAGCACUAGAAACCGAAGAUGUGAUGGAGAAAGCUGCAACAAAUGGCGUUGACUCCAUGCAGGAAGUUGACCAUACAUGCUUAGCAGUAGACCUGGAAGUACCGAACCAACAAUGUCAUAUCACAGGUGUCGUAUAUGCUAAUCAGUUCAUGGUUGAAGUCUUCAAAAUCAAUCAACAAGGUCAAAACAUGAUGAUGCAGAUGGUGCAGAAAUCUCGCCACCCAGUAAAACGUGUAGAAGGAAUGAUGCAGGAAAAUGAAGCUGACAAUGCUAGUUUGGAGGAGCAGAGGAAUGCAAAAUUCUGGAUGGAGCCAGGAAUGACCUGA
rnacentral:rRNA from 1 species